UCGAUCCGGAUCUCCUCCUCGCUCUUUAUUGAACAAACAAACCCUCGUUGCUCUCAACUCUCAACUCUCAUCUCCAUGGCAACCUUGGAAGAGGGCAGAUCCCCGUUGUGCCAUUAGCCUCGUCUCCUCCUCGUCACUAGCGUCGUCACUAGCGCCGAUCUCCUCUGCAUCUUCCUGCCACCAUGCCCUAACCCUCACCAUUGCCUUCCUUGUCAUCGCGCUGCUACAUCCCCUCCACCGCGCCUCCGCCUCGCGUGUGCUACAUCCCUCGUUCGUGUUUGCCUCGAUUUUCCCUGCUGGUGAGUUCACCUCUGCUUUGCUCAAUUUUCCCUGCUGGUGCAUUCGUCUCUGCUGGGCAUAGCUCCACAAGAUCCCAGCCCCUUCAAUGGAAAGCCAGUCACGUGAAGAGGGAGGAUAGUUGUCAGAUAGUUGCUAAACAAAGAACAAGUAAAAAAGGUGUGACAACAGAAGUUUAAGAAGGGAGAAAAGCCCCCGCUGAGGGGUGUGUGAUAUUCACAAAACUAGUCGGUUUUGCCACUGAACUGAUCUGUAAAGAACUCCAAGCACUGAAACCACUACUUAGGUAACCAUUUUUGUAUGCUGCUGAGUUAAUUUCAUUUGAUAAAUCAUUGACAGUGAGUGGUCAUGAGCAAAGAGCAAUAUAUAUUAUAGCUACAGAUAUAUAUACAUACGAAUGUUUGACUUCCAAUAUAGACUUUGAAUUUAUUUUUUAUUUGAAUUAAAAAAAGGAGAAUUUCAAAUAUAUUAUCAGUUUGAAAUUUAUCUACGUUAUCAUUGAAUUAUG